rnacentral:rRNA from 1 species
AGCAGCCGCGGUAAUUCCAGCUCCAAUAGCGUAUAUUAAAGUUGUUGCAGUUAAAAAGCUCGUAGUUGAAUUUCGGGGUUAGUACGUUGGUCAUGCCUUUGGUAUGUACUGAUGUUACUGAUUCCUCCUUCCUGAUGAACUGUGAUGCCAUUAAUUUGGUGUUGUGGGGAAACUGGACUGUUACUUUGAAAAAAUUAGAGUGUUUAAAGCAGGCUUACGCUUGAAUACAUUAGCAUGGAAUAAUGAAAUAGGACGUUCGAUCCUAUUUUGUUGGUUUCUAGGAUUGACGUAAUGAUUAAUAGGGAUAGUUGGGGGCAUUAGUAUUCAAUUGUCAGAGGUGAAAUUCUUGGAUUUAUUGAAGACUAACUACUGCGAAAGCAUUUGCCAAGGAUGUUUUCAUUAAUCAAGAACGAAAGUUAGGGGAUCGAAGACGAUCAGAUACCGUCGUAGUCUUAACCAUAAACUAUGCCGACUAGGGAUCGGAUGAUGUUAAUUUUUUAAUGACUCAUUCGGCGCCUUACG